CUUCUCCUCUCUUUGGCAGCCCCCCAGCCCCGGGGUCGGCGUGCUCGACCCCCCCACACCCCGCCCUCCGCGCCCCCAGACGGCAGCAGGCGGCCGGCAUUCCGGAGCAGCGCGUCCGCAACUUCGCGCCCAGGCGCCCGCGCCUCGCAGCCCGGCGGGCGGGAGACAAAAGCUGCGGCGCCGCCAGAGGCCGCGCGGCCAAGCCCCAUCAGCUCCUGCCUAAUCCUGCUCCCCGUUUCCUGGACCUUCUGUUGGCCAACCUGGGAAGACAGCUCAUUAACUGACUGCAAAGGAAAUGCCCUCUGGUUCAAAGCAGCUCCCUGUCAAGAAUUCAUUCAUUCAUUCCUUCAGCAAGCAAGCAAUGUUCAGGACCACCCCUGUGCCACAAUGUGGGCUAGGCACCAGGAAUAUAAAGGGAAAAGAUUCAGAUGAGACAGUCAUGUAAAAAAAAAUAGAACCACAACUGUGUGAGAGGGGCUGUAACAAGACAGAGGCAAGUUUUGAACCCAAAGGUAGGAGUGACUGACUUCAGACAUUUAUUCAACCAAUACUUUAGCAUGUCGUAAGUGCUAGGCUCUGUGCUGGGCAUUGGGGAUACACAGGCGAACUGAUGGGCUUGGUGCCCACUUCCCUGGAGCUGACAGGCUGGUGGACAGGAUGGGUACUGACUGGUGUGAUGUGAGUUAAUCAGGAGACACUGGGGGUAGGGUGGGGAUGGUGAAUAGCAAGGGCUCUUAAUCUAUUCUGGGGAGUCCAGAAAGGCUUCUCUGAGGAAAUGAGAUCUACGUGGAGGCCUGAAGGAUGAAAAAGAGGUGAAGAUGUGCUGGGAGGGGCACCGGAAGAAUUCUGGGCAGAAGGAACUUGUAGAAAAGCCCUUGAUCUGCUGGUAAGAGGCCCUGUAGAAGGCAGGUAAACGUCCACCGUGCAGAGAGGGAGGUGGGUCUGAAGACUCAGACCCUACAGGCUCAUGUUCUGGAAAAGGCUCACUUGUGUGUUGUUUAUCAUUCUAGGCCAACCCCACACCCUACCCCCAUUUUACUUCCAGUCACUGUCUGCUGCAGUGACUGGUAUGCCUGCUAAAGACAACGCUGAAAUAAAGAACAUAGGUGGUGAUAA